UUAAAAAAAAAGGCAGUACAGGAGUUUUGAGUAGAAAAAAAGGCAGGAUGAGCAACUUGGCAAAAAAAAAGGCAGGAUGACAAUUUAAGUAAAAAAAGUCAGGAUAAACUAAUAAAAAAAAAAAGGCAAAACCGAAUAAAGUGACAAAUUAAAAGGCAGGACAGAGAUUUAAACUAAAAAAAAUGCAGGACAAUUUUUUUUCAUCCUUGCCCCCC
rnacentral:lncRNA from 1 species